rnacentral:lncRNA from 1 species
UUUUGAUGAAUUACAACAAAAAUAUUUACUACUAUUUUAAUCAAUUUGUAACAAAUCUAAAACAAAUUUGUGACUUCAAACUGCAUAAAAGUUAGAACUAACAAGUUUGUUUAUGCAUAGAUACAAAAGCAAGAAAAACAUGCAACAAUAAUAUUGCCAAUAGCUACAGCACCCUCAGCAUAAACCUUGUCCUUGAGCAUAGAUAACAAGGGAAGAAACUACUAUGUCAAAAGUCCAAUAGUGACAAGAAUGAAUAUAAGAAACAUAUAUUUAGGCAACGGAUUAAUAACCAACUUUGGCAGGUAUGAAGGAAAGUCUCUCAAGGCAGCAACCAAACAGGUUCUAAUAAAAAUAAAGAAAUAUCAAUUUUCCAUAAGACAAUAUCUGAACAUGAUUAUCUACAAUGCUCUAGAAAGAUGCUAAUUACAAAUUUCACUUGGAUCACCGCCUAUGGAAAUAUGUCAGUCACGAAAACUCAAAAGGCCUAAGCAAUUGACCUAUACGGCGAAUAACAAGAAAAAAUGGAAAGAACAAAGAUGUCGAAAUAACAGAGGAAGAAAGGGAAAAUGGAAGAUAUGAUGAGUGUCGUGUUGUGUAGAAGGUCAGCUCCACAGGGGCUCUCUACUCAGAUCCUUGUUGACCUAUGGAUACACGGUCUCAAUGCAGCAAAUAUACAUCCAUUUCUAUCAAGCUCCAAUGAAGAAUACUGCAUUCUCAGAUAGAAAAGGCUCAUCAACAGUCUAGGUCGACAAAGCCUAUCAAGAAAUAUCAUACAUCAAUAGCUGGAACUUGAAGAUAAUAAAAACUAAAUUGAUCACUCACAUGUGUCAAAAGAAACAUUUGUGGGUGCCACUUUGAAGUGCAAAUAAAUUGAUUCCAAAAUAGAUCAGAGUUUGAGAGCUGUCCAAGCAUUCUAUUAUGGUACUUAAAAUCAGAAGUACAAAAACAUAGGCUCCCAAAUAAAUACUUAUGAAGAUUGUAGGCAUAUACGGUAAUUUUGAUCAAGAUGUUCUAUGAGAAACGUGGAAAUGAAACUGAUUAACCAUUUAUGAAAACAGGGAGGUUAUGGAACAACCAUAAAAAAAAUUGUCACAUAGAACGAUGCAAGUUCAAACUUGAAGAAGCAACUUCUCUGUGGAACAACAGAAGAAAUAUUAGAACAAAUUUCAUCAAUGCGGACCAUCAAAGCAUCUUUACGUAAUGAUGAUGAAGGAGUUUAAGCUUUGAUAAGACAGAAUAUAACCAAUGGCAUUUUAAAGUAAUUGUAUUUCUGAUCCAUGGGUGACCUAAAGAACAUAUGUGAUACUAGUAACGACAUUAGUUUAAGCUAGAUCCAUAUAGACAGAUUGAAACUCAUUUCAAGUUUGUGUUGCAGGCAUCCUUCUAUGUGAAUCUUUAUAUAGAAAGCAUUUAACAAAAUCCUCUGCUUCUGCCAAAGGACAAUGUUAUUCCUUAGGGUGCCAGAUUCCGCAUAUGCGCAAAGAAGAUGCUGCCACAUUCUCAAAAAAAAAGAUGCUGCCACAAAGGAGGAUAUGUACGGUGACAUAUAUACUCCAGGCAUUAGCUUCUGUGAUAGCAUCUAUGAGGAAAUUCAGGAGCAACAUAAUAAAGUGCUAACAUAAUAAGUACUUCCAACCAUAUUAUUUAGGCUCUAAUAUGCAUAGAGCAUUAAAACGUACGAACAAACAUGCCAUGUCAACAACAUAGAGAACCAAAAAUCGACCAGUACUACUCAUGAACCAAGUUGUACAAGUACACUAAUAAAUCCAUGACAAAUGUAAUUAGCUAAGGAUCUAACAGAAGCUAACAAGCUUAUUGAAGUUACCUAACAGAGGCGCACUGAAAUAGAAACGCCGGCACAAAAGCAAGGCUAUCCCCUUGAUUCGAAACCGAGGAAAGCGUGCGCUCGACCUCCUGGCCUGGGCAAAGCAGAGACACAGUGUCACCCUCAUUUCCCCACCCUCUAUGUGAAUCUUCUAUCACACCGGUGGCAACUGUCGAAGCCUCUCAAAUCCGGUCACAAAUCGAAGGUAAAAGUCAAGAUACUAAAAAGUAGUAUCUUGGUCUGGAUCAUGAUUGACCAUAUGCUUAGACUAUUACCUGUUCCUUAUGCAAAAGGUUCGCUACAUUUUCAUGAUCCCCGUCCUCUAUCCACCUUUGGCUUCAUUGUGGCCAAGUUCUUCUCACCAUGAUCCAUCUUGCACCUCUUGGCAUCGAUUUUUAAUUUUGCUUCCUUACCUGAAAUCAGAAUGGAUGACGCCUGAUCAGUAUCAAUGUUACACGAUUGUGACCCGUCACAAUUAUUUCAAAAAAAUUGAAGCUCACCUGAUCUAUGGCACUUGUGGAAGGGUCCUUGAUUUUGCUUUUCAUCUGCAGAAAAACAAACAGGUAAAGUGUGAUCUUUACUUCUUUAGAUAGGUAUAAAUUUGGCGUAUCAAAUGCAUUUACAUGAAUGGAUGAAUGCUAUAAAUAAGAAUGAGCAUGUGGUUCAUUGAUGAUAUAGGUACAAUACAUCUUAGGUAGCAGCAACAAAGAUGACCUCUUCUAAAUAAAGAAAGUAGGACUCAUGAUUUCACCUUGUAUGGCUUUGUUCUCUAGAUCAAAAUGCACCAGCCUUCCAAGUAUCCUUUUCAUUUUGAAAGGGCAUAACUUCCAGUUAGAGCAUCAAGAAGCCAUCCUGCAGCCAGGACACAUUAAGAAAAUUUCAGGCCUUCUUGCAGUCAGUACACAUUACGAAAUUUCCUAUAUGGUGCACAACAGAUUACAAAAUCUCUUCGAUGCAUUGACUAACUACUCUAAAAAGCAAAAUCUAACAAUCGAAUUGUCAUAUUAAGUGCGACCAUAUUUCUAACUAACAUGAUCAGAUAUCCACCAUUAUCAACAACAGAUUACAAAAUCUUUUUGAUGCAUUGACUAACUAAUCUAAAAAU